rnacentral:lncRNA from 1 species
GCCAGUAUGAAAAAAUGGUAUACUUUGUGGAUGUAAAAUUAAGUAAAGAUGGAGUAAUUGAAGAAUGCCAUUGCGAUUGUGCUGCAGGCAGUGGUACUCAAGCAUGUUGCAAACAUGUCUCUGUAUUGUUGGAUGACAUGUGAACCCGCAAAUCCACAUGGCAUUGAAUGGGAUCGUUACACCUAUGUAGAUAGGACUCCAAUAGAUAUUUUACUAGAGAAGCUAUUAUUAAAAAUAUUAUAUCUGAACAAAUUCAGGAAGUGAGAAGAAUACAAGAGCCCAAAGUGAUUCCUCUGAGUGGCAUGAAAGAUCAUGCAGGAUUACUGCCAGUAUGUUUCAUUUAGUGUGCCACAGUAAAGCAUAUAAGUACCAAAAAUAUAUGUAAUCGAUAUGAUUUUGGCCCCUAAAGCUGUGCAGACUAUGUUAGUUGUGCAUAGUAAAAUCCAAGAAACUAUUUCCAUUGCCAAAUAUGAUAGAGAUUAUGGACUAAAAAUAAAAAAGUGGAUUCAUUAUAUCAUUUGAAUAUCCUUUUCUGGCUGUUUCUCCAGACGGUAUAUUGGGUAAAGAUACUAUUGUUGAGGUUAAGUGUCCAUAUGCUGCUAGAUAUUAUAAAAUAACCUCUGUGACUGUGCCUUACUUAAAAAUACUUAAUGGAGAAUUACAUUUAAAAAAGCAGCAUCCAUAUUAUGCCCAAAUCCAAGGCCAACUUUAUUGUUCGGGGACGCAAUAUUGCAAUUUUAUUGUUUACACAUUUGAGGAUAUGAAAAUAAUAUUCAUUAAUAGAGAUGACUCAUUUAUUAAUGGCAUGUUGACAAAUUUGUUAAACUUUUAUGUACAUAAUUUAGAACCAGAAAUGUAAAUAAGUAUGUGUAUAAGAACUAUUUACAAUUAAUAAAUAAAUUGAAAUAA